rnacentral:rRNA from 1 species
GGGGAAUAUUGCGCAAUGGGCGAAAGCCUGACGCAGCGACGCCGCGUGGAGGAUGAAGGUCUUAGGAUUGUAAACUCCUGUCAGAUGGGAAGAAAAGGUUUAUUUUUAAUAGAGAUAGAUUAUGACGGUACCAUCAGAGGAAGCACCGGCUAACUUCGUGCCAGCAGCCGCGGUAAUACGAAGGGUGCGAGCGUUAUUCGGAAUCACUGGGCGUAAAGAGUGCGUAGACGGUCCAUUAAGUUUGUUGUUAAAGACUCUAGCCUAACUGGAGGGUUGCAAUGAAAACUGGUGAGCUGGAGGGUGAGAGAGAGAAGUGGAAUUCCUGGAGUAGCGGUAAAAUGCGUGGAUCUCAGGAGGAACACCAAUGGCGAAGGCAGCUUCUUGGCUCAUUCCUGACGUUGAGGCACGAAAGCGUGGGGAGCAAAC